UACAGAGUCUCUGGAAGGGAGCAUUUGAAAACUCAAUAUGCUGGUCAGUAUUGUCCUGACAAAAUGUGUGUGGCAACAUUGUAUGGAAAGUUAUAAGAUU